AUGUCUAAGCGUCAGCACUCGCAACUGGACGGCGACCGCACCGGAAAAAGGCCGCGGCGUGCGCCCAAGAAGCACCUCUACCUGGUGCUGGAUGAUUGGGACACGGGCUUCAGCAUCUACAAGGUUGAUGCCGACACUUUGCAAGAUACCUGCACCAGCGACGUGCAGUUUGGGUUCCCUGACCCUCCCGUCCUCCGGUUUCCCGUGCCAGUACGCCAUCUUGGCAUGAGCUUCACGGCCUUUGGUAACAGCAUCUUCAUCGCCACCAACCCACACUGUCCACAGACUCCCAUCCUCGUAUAUGAUACCGAGAUAGCGGGAAUCACCAUCGGGCCAAGCCUACCACGUUCACUGCUUGGUGGCAUUGACAUCUCUGUGGCCACCGGUGAUACGUUGUAUGCAUCGACAUCUCGCCAUGCCGGGUGCCAUCGCCACCGCCAUUUUGCCAUGGAUGAUAUAAUUUCCUCUUACGCGCUGCACCCGGACGGGCACACCAUAUUCAUGUCUGCACACGACAGUCUUUAUCAACAUGUUCCAAAGGGUACCUUCUCAUUCAACACCAAGCGUUCUGAGUGGAGGUGGCAUGGGGAUUGGGCUCUGCCUUUCCAAGGGCAAGGCUACUACGACAGCGAGCUAGACGCAUGGAUUGGGCUCCGUAAAGACGGGUACAUUUGUGCCUGUGAAGUUGCCUCCCGCAGCCGCGAAAGUGCUGUGCAGCCAUAUUGUAAGAUUGCGAAGGAGAAGUUGUUCCUCAAAGUCCCGGAGCGGCGGCUGGCAGCAACAAGGGCCACUCUCGCGUACAUGGGCAACAGCAACUUUUGCCUUGUCGAUUGUGUGCAGCGCGAGGGAGUGGAGCCUACAUGCAUCGUCGAUUGUUGCGUGCUCCAUAUGAGCACGUUUGGGCUUAAGUAUGAUCACAGGGGAGAGCUGCAAACCACGCGCCACUGCUCUAACUCUUAUGUAGUGUCUAAGCAUAUCCUGUCCUUUUCUCCUGUAGUGUUCUGGAUGUAA
rnacentral:rRNA from 1 species